GUGCUCACUUCAGCAGCACAUAUACUAAAAUUGGAACGACACGGAGAAGAUUAGCAUGUCCUCUGCACAAGGAUGAUACGCAAAUUUGUGAAGCAUUGCAUAUUCUU